ensembl:lncRNA
GGGCGGCGUAGGAACGGCCUCUCUCGGACUAUAAAAUCUCGUGUUUAGCGUGUUUCUGCGGCUUUAUUUCUAAUAAUACGCACUUCUUUUAGCUUUUAAAGUUUAUCAGCUUCUCUAUCUUGGCUCCUUCGCCUUGUCAGUACUCUGCAAGUAUUGAGAAUGGUCCUGGUGUGUCUGGCUCGGAGCGUUCUAAUAACUUUGUGAAGCUGAUUGUACACAGUGGAUCAGAGUCCUGGAUGGAAAUGCAAGCCUUGCUGAAAUCUCUGAGCUCAUCUCAAGCACAGAUCGGACCCUGAAUGCAUGUGGGAAGGAGCUGGAUGAGUAAAGAGGUAUUAUUUUUUACUGCAUCUACCACUGAAACAGAACAGAAUGGGGAGGCUGUUCAAUAGGAACGUACAGAGCAAUUAAUCUAUUUUUCUCAUGAUGUUUUUCUUCAGAAAUAACCUAGGACUUUUCUGAGACCAAUAAUUCACCUAACCCCAUCCCCAGCACUGGCUGUAAAAGAAUGGGAUAUAAGAUGAACACAGGUGUUGUGUCACUUGCAUUUCCAUUUUAUUAAUGCUUAAGUAAUUAAUCCUGAAUUCCUUAACAUUGGGAUGUGAUAGUUCAAUUAAAUCAUGAAUUCCUUCCAUAAAUACACGCACAAUCAGAAUGCAAUAAGUAAAGUCAUUGCAGAAAGAAACUAGGAGGCAAAAGAAAAUCUGUGACGUAGAAAAAGUCAAAGCAUAAGGCAAGCAUAAGAGAGACUAUUUGAAAAAUCCUACCACCAAAAUUAAAAAACCCCCAAAACUCAUCAUUGUGUUAGACUUCUGAAGCAGGUUCCAAAGAACAGCACCCCACAGUGUGUAGGACAAGAUCAGGACAUUAAUAAAUAAUACAUGUCCUCCAUCAGAGCGAUUUUAAUUUAUCCAUCAACAUGAAUUAAUUAAUAAUUUAAAAGGGCACUAUGAUCCCCAUGUGGGAAUUCCUAUGAAAUGAAAAUUCAAGCAGUUUAAAAUGCAGUAGAUUGCUCUCCAUUAAAAAACAUGUUAAGGGAUUUACUGUGUUACUAUUUUACUUUAAGCAACAUGAUUUUGAUGUGUUUAAACAUUAUAGCGUGCCAUUUGCAAUCCAAACAUUGCAGGAUUAAGUCCCAUCAAGUGACUGAUUAUAAACGCAAACAGAAUUAACACGUCUUUUAUGAAAUGCUAAAACAAAGCAAAAAAACAUUACCUAAAUUUCAGUUUCUCUCAUUUAAGCAUAUUUUACUAAUUCAGGAAAAUUCAUGUUCACUCAUAUAACUAACUUACACUGUAGCCCUUUCCUUUUAAGAUUGUUUUAAAUAGUAUAAUUACUGCUAUACAUACAAAACCAUUGCUGUUCUCUGAACAAAAGACAUUAGAGUUUUUAGAGUCAUGUACCAAUCAAUACUCACCCUGAAUGUACUUAAAAAUAUUCAAAUCUUGGUGAACAAACUGGCAAAGUCAAUAUGUUUCUCUUCAAUGGGAAAAUGUCAGAAAUUCUGCUUAUGGACACACAUCCUUUGGAUUCAACAGUUUAAUUUUGUUUAUGGACAUUUAAGAUAACUCAGAGUGGGAUUAGUUUAAUAAACACGGUCUUCAUAAGUUACAGUGGAUGAGGUGCUCAAGGUGUUUGUUGGCUGAGCCUGGACUGCUGUCUUUGAACACACCAUACACAAAGCUUUUAACAGACUUGGAACAGAUUUCAGUGUGAGGAAGCUUUCAGUAACAAAAACUACUCAUCAGACCUACUGUUGUGAAAGAUUUCCCAUUGGAAGUGGUAUCGUUCCUGCUACUUUAACGUUAAAAUUAGAAGCAAAUCCUAUGAGGAAACAGUUUUGCAUGUGCCUUAGUUUAAGUAUGUAUGCACUUAAAUAUGCAUAUUCUAAACAGAUAUUUUCAGUUUGAUCCACUCAAAACACUGACAGAAGUGACAAUCACCAUUACUCUGCAGUAGUUGGUAUUAUACUGAGAAGCUGGAUAACUUGGGUGAGGUUCUAAAAGAACCAGUGGAGAAAUCGAUGCAUGAAAUAAAUGAGCUCUCCCAGGGUAUCACAGAGAGGUCCUAUUUGGAGGUCCUGGUUUCUCACCCUGAGAGUGAUCUCCUGACUCUGCAUCUUCCACGUGGGCACUUCUGGUAACGUUGUCAUUUUUGCAGCAGUUCCCUGUUUGAUAUUAACUAUGCUGUCCUCACUUCUUUGCAAGGCAAACACGGUUUUUGCUCUGCAACAGAUGACUUUAAGAAUACAAGUGGACAGGCAUUUU